CGGUAGACUACUUUCGGGUAGUUGAGAGUGGCGCACGGGUGCGUAACGCGUAUGCAACCUACCUUGUACAGGGGGAUAGCCCGGAGAAAUUCGGAUUAAUACCCCAUAGCAUUAUCAGAUGGCAUCUGAAGAUAAUUAAAGAUUUAUCGGUACAAGAUGGGCAUGCGUGACAUUAGUUAGUUGGUAAGGUAAAGGCUUACCAAGACGAUGAUGUCUAGGGGUUCUGAGAGGAUGAUCCCCCACACUGGUACUGAGAUACGGACCAGACUCCUACGGGAGGCAGCAGUAGGGAAUAUUGGUCAAUGGGCGAGAGCCUGAACCAGCCAUGCCGCGUGCAGGAAGACGGCCUUCUGGGUUGUAAACUGCUUUUCUACGGGAAGAAAAUGCCCUUGCGAGGGAAAUUGCCGGUACCGUAGGAAUAAGCACCGGCUAACUCCGUGCCAGCAGCCGCGGUAAUACGGAGGGUGCAAGCGUUGUCCGGAUUUAUUGGGUUUAAAGGGUGCGUAGGCGGAUCUUUAAGUCAGUGGUGAAAGCCUGCAGCUUAACUGUAGAACUGCCAUUGAUACUGGAGGUCUUGAGUACACUAGAGGUAGGCGGAAUUUAUGGUGUAGCGG
rnacentral:rRNA from 1 species